rnacentral:rRNA from 1 species
CCCUUAGAUGUUCUGGGCUGCACGCGCGCUACACUGAUGCACUCAACGAGUUUACGACCUUGCCCGAUAGGGUUGGGUAAUCUUUUUAAAAUGCAUCGUGAUGGGGAUAGAUUAUUGCAAUUAUUAAUCUUCAACGAGGAAUUCCUAGUAAGCGCGAGUCAUCAGCUCGUGCUGAUUACGUCCCUGCCCUUUGUACACACCGCCCGUCGCUCCUACCGAUUGAGUGCUCAGGUGAAUAAUUCGGACUGCAGCAAUGUUUGGAUCCCGAACGUUGCAGCGGAAAGUUUAGUGAACCUUAUCACUUAGAGGAAGAAGAAGUCGUAACA